ACUUCAGAUCCGGCCUCCGUGCUCGCUGGGCUGCCAAGCGUCCCUGACUUUGCCCAGAGCGAGUGUGAAUAAUAAACAAGAAUAAAAAUGAACGUCUGUCAAUAAACAUCCCAUCUAAUUCCAGCCGUUCUCCCUUCUUCUUCUGCAAGGCUUUGCGGUCUGUAUUCCCCACGGCGGGCACACAGAUCCAUAGAUAAACUGAUGGGACGGAUGGAUUCGCUGCGGAGAUGCAGAGCUACAGGGAGCUAAAUAGAUUGAUUGGAUAGAUAGCUAUGGGAUUGGAUACCUGUGGAAGAAAGCUACAGAGACCGGCAGAGUGGAUGGAUUUGGGGGAUAGAUAAUAUAUUAGACCAGGGGUAGGCAACCUGUGGCACGUGUGCCGAAGCCGGCACACAAGCCGAUUUUCAGUGGCACUCGCUGCCUGGGUCCUGGCCAUCGUUCCCGGGGGCUCUGCAUUUUAAUUUAAUUUUAAAUGAAGCUUCUUAAACUUUUUAAAAACCUUAUUUACUUUACAUACAACAAUAGUUUAGUUAUAUAUUAUAGACCUAGAGAACGAGACCUUCUAAAAACGUUAAAAUGUAUUACUGGCACGUGACACCUUAAAUUACAGUGAAUAAAUGAAGAUUCGGCACACCACUUCUGAAAGGUUGCCGACCCCUGUAUUAGACGGUGGGAGGAUGGCAUAAUAAUUUAGAAUAAAUUUUCCAGUGCUCCAGGGUGGAUUUGAAGACAGUGCCAGUAAUUUGGGUAUGUCAUCUAUAUUAAUAAACUUUUGAUUUGGUAGCUGACCUGGCUGUUUCUCUAGAACUUAACCUCUAUGAUCAUAAACAGAACUUGAACACGUUAAAAAAAAAAGUCCUGUCAGGGGAGUUUAUUUUAUAGAGAUAAUGAUUUGUUUGAAUGUUGGUUAAAAAACAAGCACCCCAAACAGAGGAUGAAUCCUUGAAAUCAGUGAAAAUAAAUACAUUAGCGAAUGAAUUUAAUUAAACAACAGUGGAUUUGAAAUCAUUUUCUGGCUGCUAUUUGUUGAUCUUCAAAAAGAUAUACUCCUGGCAUUUCCUGGUUGUGUGUGUGUUUGUUUUGAAACUCUGCCAGUAAAAGAAUCUGAAGUGUCAAUAGAAAAAUAAAUUGUGAAUAACUGUCUUUGCAUUGUUAUUUGUCAGGUGUUCCAUGUUUCUCGGUAGGUUGUGAACAGCUGCUGUUGUAUGUUAAACUGUACCAAGCAGGCAAGUGCUCUGAUUCGCUGAUGAAUGAUUUCACUCCACUUCAGUGCUCUGUGGUUGCACAAGAAAAGUUUGCAAGUGAGGAAGCUGGAAUGCUGAAGUUAAGAAAAAAAUCAAACCUUGAAUACCAGCUAGUUUGAGCAACUCAUUUAAAACUCCAGACUCCAACUGCAAGUCUGCCCUGAACCCAGGCCCAUUGAGGGAGAUUUGGGGCCCCUCCCAUUUCAGUGUAUUUACACAGAUGUUACAGACCCUGCGCUCAGGGCCCUCUCUUUCCCCGCUCUUGUCAGCCAUGCUUGUAGCUUUGCUUCUGCAUUCCAAGAAUAAAUCCUGGGGCCUUGCAAGAGACUCAGUUGUAUGUGGCGGAAUGAUGGUCUUGCUGCUAAGGCAGUAGCCUAGCUCUUGGAGAAUAGGAGGGGGGUGUCAAUUGCUGGCUCUGCCACAGACUUCCUGCAUGACCUUGGAUGAUUUCCUUAAUCUCUCUGCCUCUGUCCACAUCUGGAAAAUCCUUUGUCAGCCUGUUCUAUUUGGAUUGGAAGUGCACCAAGGCUGGGACUGCUUUGCUAUGUGUUUGUGCAGGGGCAGUACUGUAAUAGUAGUUAUAACAACAUGAUGCCCCAGAAACGGGGCAGGGGAGGAGGGGUCUUGGGGCUUCAGCCCCAUGUGGCACACCUGCCAGGGCUCAAGGCUUCAGCAGGAGUGGGCUGAUGCCCUACCCCCCAGCUCCCGGCAGCUGUGCCCUGGCUCUCGAACUUCUGGAGAUUGUCAUAUGUGGCUCAGAGGGCCAGUAAGUUUGGCCACCCCUGGUCUAGAUAAUACUUAGUCCUGCCAUGAAUGCAGGGGACUUAACUAGAUGACUUCUCAAGGUCCCUUCCAGUCCUAUGAUUCUAUGUUGUGUGGAUUGUGUGCGUGCAGGAUAACAAGUGAGAUGUGAUGCUUAGAGCCUUCUCGUAAUAAUUUGUUGGCAAAGUACAUUUUUAAUCACGAAAAUGUUUAUCAACCAUUCUAUGUUACAAAUAAAUCUAGUGCAACAGAAAUGAA